rnacentral:lncRNA from 1 species
AUGAAGGCUAACACCAUAUCUCUCUCAGGAUGGAAAGACCUACAUGUAUGGAGGGUGUGUCACCAUUACAGCCCAUGGAAGAAAGUACCUAUUUCACCAAUACCUGCAAGGUCUUUGACAAACUACAGAGACCAUGAAGAGGACUUCCCUGGUAGCUCAGCUGGUAAAGGAUUGCCUUCAAUGCAGGAGACUCUGGUUUGAUUUCUGGGUCGGGAGGAACCCCUGGAGAAUGGAUAGGCUACGUACUCCAGUGUUCUUGGGCUUCCCUGGUGGCUAAGACGAUAAAGAAUCUGCCUGCAGUGCAGCAGACUUCGGUUCGAUCCCUGGAUUGGGAAGAUCCUCUGGACGAGGGCAUGGCAACCACUCCAGUUUUCUUGACUGGAGAAUCCCCACAGACAGAGGAGCCUGGCAGGCUACAGUCCAUGGGGUCACAAAAAGUUGGACACGACUGAACGACUAAGCACACAAAAAAUGCAAUCAGGCCAGCAUGGUUGGAGCAUGGUGAGUGAGAGAAGGAAGGACCAAAGGCCUGGGUUUGUUGCCCAGCUCUGCUAUUUAUUGGCUGUGUGACCUUGGGGAGUUCAUUUAGACUUUCUGAGCAGCAGUUUUCUCAUCUGACAAAUGGAGAUAUUACCACACUGAAGCAGUUGAAAGGAUUAAGAGAGAUAAUGCAAGUUCUUUGUAAAUGAUACACCAAUAAGGUAUUAUGUUUCCGUGCUGCUCUAAGUGUAAUAAAUACUGAAAGCAUCUGAAGGUGUGGAUGAGU